rnacentral:rRNA from 1 species
UACAGAGGUCUCAAGCGUUGUUCGGAUUCAUUGGGCGUAAAGGGCAUGCAGGCGGUCCGACACGUUUUGUGUGACAGCGGGUGGCUUAACUACCCGAGGAUGCGAAAGACGGUUGGACUUGAGGACUCGAGAGGGACACGGAGUUCCGGGUGGAGUGGUGAAAUGCGUAGAGAUGUGGAGGAAUACCGAUGGCGAAGGCAGCCCCCUGGGCCAAUACUGACGCUCAUGCACGAAAGCGUGGGGAGCAAACAGG